rfam:Streptomyces griseoruber strain DSM 40281 genomic scaffold PRJNA299232_s036, whole genome shotgun sequence.
CUUCAGCGAGCCCAGCCACAGGGGACGGUCCUCGGCACGGUCCUGGCCGUAGACGGCGAUCAGCGCCUGGGCCUC